CGACUUUCGUGGUAGCGGCGAGCGACCUGGAAUUAGCCCAACACUGAAUCUUGCAUUGUCUCAAUGUCGAGAGUUGUAGUGUAAAGGUUGUAUCUUUGACGAUGGCGUUGACUUCAAAUGCGCUUGAAUGCGAUAAUGUCCAGAGAGGGUGAUAGGCCCGUAGGAGUCAACAAAGUUGUUAUUGGUAUUUCCAAUGAGUCGGAUUGUUUGAGAAUGCAGUCCAAAUCAGGUGGUAGAUUCCAUCUAAGGCUAAAUACUUGUCUGAGUCCGAUAGUAAACAAGUACCGUGAGGGAAAGUUGAAAAGAACUUUGAAGAGAGAGUUAAAUAGUACGUGAAAUUGCUUACAGGUAAACGAGUAGAUCUGAAGGUUGGUGUAUAGAAAUCAAUGUAUUAUAUGAUACUAGUGUGGCUGAGAGUCUGUAAAAAGUUCUUGGUAGCAUAAUGUUGUCGUGUGAUGCAUGCACUUUUUGUACAUCAAAUAUGUGUCCAGUAGAACUACCUUUCUUUCGUAGUGUUGAAGUUGACUGUAUCUUCGGAUUCAGUUUUAUAGCUCACUGCAAGGUUGGGUAGCGUACUGAUAAAUAUUGGUCUAACAAUAUGAUUGCACUAUUGCUUAUAUCUGUGCUAAGUAGACUCGAUAGAGACUGCAUGGUAUAGAUGUUUGUGAUUAUGUAGUUAUAGUUGGAUCAGAGUCACAUUGUUUAUGUAAGAAAUCUACUCGACCCGUCUUGAAACACGGACCAAGGAGUUUUAUUUGUAUACAAGUCAAAGGGCAAAAAACCCCACGGCGAAAUGAAAGUAAAGGUUUACGUACGUAAACUGUAAUGUGAUCCUGGUUUACCAGGCGUAACAUUGACCUACACGAAUGUGUUCGCACAUGUGUAGAGUUCGAGUAUACAGGUAGAGACCCGAUAGAUGAUGAACUUUGGAAGGGCAUUUCGAAGCCAUUUGAAAGAAUGGUGGAGGAAAGAAGCAGUUUUGACGUGCAAAUCAAUUGUCAGACCUUUCUAAAGGGGCGAAAGACUAAUCGAAUCAUCUAGUAGCUGGUUCCCUCCGAAGUUUCCCUCAGGAUAGCUGGUGCUCUGUAAUAGUUGUAUCUGGUAAAGCGAAUGAUUAGAAGUAUUUGGGUCAUAACGGCCUAAACUUAUUCUCAAACUUUAAAUGGGUACGAUGUGUAACUAUCUUCAUUGUAGUUGCACUCAUUAAUAUGAGUACUUAGUGGGCCAUUUUUGGUAAGCAGAACUGGCGAUGUGGAAUGAACCAAACAUCUAGUUAAGGUGCCUAAUGUCACGCUCAUGAGAUACCAGAAAAGGUGUUGGUUGGUAUAGACAGCAGGACGGUGGACAUGGAAGUCGUCAUCCGCUAAGGAGUGUGUAACAACUCACCUGCCGAAUCAACCAGCCCUGAAAAUGGAUGGCGCUGUAGCGUGGAACCUAUACUGGAUUGGCGACGCAAGCUUUAUGCGAGUAAGUGUCGUCAUGUAGGAGGGUGCCGUGGUUGUAUUGAAGCCUAUGGCGUGAGUCAUGGUGGAACGGCCACGGGUACAGAUCUUGGUAGUAAGUAAGCAAAUUAAUUCCAAGAUA
rnacentral:rRNA from 1 species